ACGGGAGGCAGCAGUGGGGAAUAUUGCACAAUGGGCGCAAGCCUGAUGCAGCGAUGCCGCGUGAGGGAAGAAGGUUUUCGGAUUGUAAACCUCUGUCAACAGGGAUGAAAAUGACGGUACCUGUGAAGGAAGCUCCGGCUAACUACGUGCCAGCAGCCGCGGUAAUACGUAGGGGGCAAGCGUUAUCCGGAAUUACUGGGUGUAAAGGGAGUGUAGGCGGGACUGUAAGUCAGAUGUGAAAUAUGCCGGCUCAACUGGCAGACUGCAUUUGAAACUGCGGUUCUUGAGUAAAGUAGAGGUAAGCGGAAUUCCUAGUGUAGCGGUGAAAUGCGUAGAUAUUAGGAGGAACACCAGUGGCGAAGGCGGCUUACUGGGCUUUAACUGACGCUGAGGCUCGAAAGCGUGGGGAGCAAACAGGAUUAGAUACCCUGGUA
rnacentral:rRNA from 1 species